UAGUGGCGAACGGGUGAGUAACACGUGGGCAAUCUGCCCUGCACUCUGGGACAAGCCCUGGAAACGGGGUCUAAUACCGGAUACGAGCCUCCACCGCAUGGUGGGGGUUGGAAAGCUCCGGCGGUGCAGGAUGAGCCCGCGGCCUAUCAGCUUGUUGGUGAGGUAACGGCUCACCAAGGCGACGACGGGUAGCCGGCCUGAGAGGGCGACCGGCCACACUGGGACUGAGACACGGCCCAGACUCCUACGGGAGGCAGCAGUGGGGAAUAUUGCACAAUGGGCGAAAGCCUGAUGCAGCGACGCCGCGUGAGGGAUGACGGCCUUCGGGUUGUAAACCUCUUUCAGCAGGGAAGAAGCGAAAGUGACGGUACCUGCAGAAGAAGCGCCGGCUAACUACGUGCCAGCAGCCGCGGUAAUACGUAGGGCGCAAGCGUUGUCCGGAAUUAUUGGGCGUAAAGAGCUCGUAGGCGGCUUGUCACGUCGGUUGUGAAAGCCCGGGGCUUAACCCCGGGUCUGCAGUCGAUACGGGCAGGCUAGAGUUCGGUAGGGGAGAUCGGAAUUCCU
rnacentral:rRNA from 1 species